rnacentral:snRNA from 1 species
GUGCUUGCUUUGGCUGCACAUAUCCUAAAAUUGGAGCAAUACAGAGAAAAUUAGCAUGGCCCCUGAAUAGGCAGGCUGCACAAAUUUUUGAAGGAUUCUAUAUUUUG